CUUGUCUUUGCUUAUUGUCUCCUGGCUCCUGGUUUAGUCACAAGGGGCUUCUUGACAAAGUUUGUAAAGCGUUUGAAGGAAAUAAACUUUCUUAGAGAAGAUCUCAUUUUCAGUACCCAUUGUGAAGAGGGUACAGGUUCAGGCGUCGACACGUAUUUUGGACUGUGUACUUAUCCUGGUCAGGAGCUGAGGCGCCGUAUUGUUUUCAAGGUAACACUCAAAAUUCCCCCAGCCAAGUUCAUUGCAAAAGAUAUCUAGUUUGGGGUUAUCAAACAAACAAAAAAAAAAAGAUGUUCAUUCAUCACCAUGUCUGCUUUGCUUUUUUUAACAGGUUUAUCCGAGGGAUAUCUAUGCAUUCGGACUCAUAGCCUGGACAGGGAACGACGUGUUGAAUAGAAAGGUAUUAACAAAAUUAUAAUCCAUUAUCAUCUCACCAAAGAUAGUGUUGGUAAAGAAAGAAAGAUCACACCCACACACAUCCUUGUAUAUAUUUGAUAUGCCAUGGGAAUGUAGGCUGAGAUUGCUAGCGGAAUCUAAAGGAGAUCGACUCAAUGACACUGGACUGUUCCCAGCUACUCACAGUUCAAGUGGUAACCGGGUAAGGGGAACAACAAUGUGAAUGAUUAAAAGUGAACGAAUGAGUAUUUUUAUUUUGUCUGAGCAUGUGAUCAUGUUUCUUUGUCAGGGUGGUAAGAGCAAGUGCAAGCAUGAAACUCUCCACGGAGAAACAAGUUUUCGAUUUCCUAGGGUUUCCUUGGCUCGAGCCACACGAGAGGAAUCUUUAAGUUAACUCACUAAGCCUCUUUGGUAGUUGUUUAAGUUAUCUUCUAGUUCUGUAAGUAAUCACUGUUUUUGUAAUUGCAUAUCUCUGGGCAAAGUCAUGUAAUAGUAUUUCUUGUAAUGUUCUAGGUUUUAAUUUAAUAUUCUUGGACGUCUUUAUGUAUUCGAGGUGUUGUGACCAUAUUAAUUUACCAUUUUUUCUAAACAAACUAAUCACGCGUGUGAUAGAUGUGGUUAGCAAGUGGAAAACAUCGUCCCACAUCGUUAAACCAGAGAACAUAUGGCUUGUUUAUAUAUCUGUAGAAAGCAUAAGAGGUCACGACCUUACUUGAACAGGAUCUGUUCUAUAGGAAGUACCUCUGUAUCCUUGAUUUCUAAGGAGACAGUCCCUGAACCCUGGUUGAUGACUCAUUACCGUGUAAUCUGAGCGUGAUUAACGGCUAGGUUUGUCUUCGUACUCUCCGUGCUGUAGAGGAUCGUUACCUAGCUUGUGCUUGACCACGGUUAGGGUGGUUGCAUGGUUGUCUGACAGGUCCUUUUUU